CAAACGCCACCUUCUGUUUCCUCAGCACAAUGAGACUUUCGUGACCCCAGGCUUUCGACUUCUGCUCUGCCACCUCACCCAUGGCAUUGACAAAGCCCUGAGGAAAAUCUCAGAGAUAGAUAAAUAUAGGACUCACAUAAAUCUGCCUCCCUUGUUUCCAGAAUUUGUAGCCCCGUAGUUCUGUCUGCCAUGGUGGUUCCCUAAUGCUUUAAAAGAGUGGACUCACGUACUAAUCUUUUCUAUUUUUUAGGGGAGGGUUAGUCUCACACAAGCUGCCUUGUUAUAGAGGACAUUGGAAACCACUGGAUUAUAUGAAGAAAUUAAGGACUAGAAUCACUGGUGCAAGAUCACACUGGGGAAAAGUGACAGAACCAAAUUUCAAACUCCAGUCUUUCUGCUUCUAGAGAUUGAACUACUAACAUCUGCAUUAUAUAAAAUUAAGUCUCUCAAGGUAGUUUGUGAAACGUAACAUACAAAUAAGUGAUUAAAAUUUUUGGUGAUACCCUCUUGUUCCUCUUUCUUCAACACCCUAGAUUUGAGAUAUUCUUGUUUUAGAGUAUGGGGGUCAGAGUUGUGGGGGACAAUAGACAUCUAUUGAACCUCUCUAAACAUUUUUCUUGAACACAAAUAACUAGAAGCAAUAAGGGAAAGCUAAAUAAUAUCUCCCAUAAAAAAAUCUAUUACUACACACCACUGGAUUUAAUGCUUGCUCUAAAAAAUUAUUGAUAUGCUCAAUAUCUUCCUUUUAAUUUACCAAGCAGCUUCCAGAGAAUUUAGGUGAGGUAGAUAAUAAAAGAGAUAAUAAGUGGCACAUGAAAGGUGAUGAAGUUUAAAUUUAAGAACAUAUUUUGAAAAUCCUGCUAAUAAAUGUUGACUAUUUCCAGGCUCUUUAUUCAUCUUGUAGUACAGCAACAAGAUGGCAGCAUUACCAGCAAUUCAAAAUAGAUACAAAUUUAAAAUGAUGUUAUUUGAUAUAUAGCCAUGAAGAAGGAUCUUUGUUCCAUUUUAUUAUCUGUUUCCUAUGGUUAAUAACCUUAAAUAUUGCCUUGAUUCUAUCCACUCUGUUCUUGAUGUAUAAUUUCCAAACUCAAAGCUAGAUUGAGGCAUACGAUUCUCACUCUUACAUACGUUUUUCUUUCUGAAAAAUGUUUUUUAUUGUGAAAACAUAUUUUUCCUGAUCCUUGUUUAAAACCAUGACACAAAUUAAUCAAUCUACCUCCACACCAUCUGCGGCCCCCUAAAAAGAAGCAUAACUUUUCAUCAAAGAUUAGCACAUUACUCAUCCAACUAGAUUAUAGAAAUGAUAAAAACCCAUGUCAGCAGGCUCUUAGGGUGUUCAGUGGUUACGUUAGAGAAGUUGUAAAAUAAUACAAUUAUUGGAUGAU
rnacentral:lncRNA from 1 species